AUUGAACGCUGGCGGCAGGCCUAACACAUGCAAGUCGAGCGGAUGAAGGGAGCUUGCUCCUGGAUUCAGCGGCGGACGGGUGAGUAAUGCCUAGGAAUCUGCCUGGUAGUGGGGGAUAACGUCCGGAAACGGGCGCUAAUACCGCAUACGUCCUGAGGGAGAAAGUGGGGGAUCUUCGGACCUCACGCUAUCAGAUGAGCCUAGGUCGGAUUAGCUAGUUGGUGGGGUAAAGGCCUACCAAGGCGACGAUCCGUAACUGGUCUGAGAGGAUGAUCAGUCACACUGGAACGGAGACACGGUCCAGACUCCUACGGGAGGCAGCAGUGGGGAAUAUUGGACAAGGGGCGAAAGCCGGAUCCAGCCAUGCCGCGUGUGUGAAGAAGGUCUUCGGAUUGUAAAGCACGUUAAGUUGGGAGGAAGGGCAGUAAGUUAAUACCUUGCUGUUUUGACGUUACCAACAGAAUAAGCACCGGCUAACUUCGUG
rnacentral:rRNA from 1 species